rnacentral:rRNA from 1 species
UACGUAGGCAGCGAGCGUUGUUCGGAGUUACUGGGCGUAAAGGGCGCGUAGGCGGUCUUGUAAGUCCUGUGUGAAAUCCCCCGGCUCAACUGGGGAAUUGCACGGGAAACUGCUUGGCUUGAGUUCGGGAGAGGGAAGCGGAAUUCCGGGUGUAGCGGUGAAAUGCGUAGAUAUCCGGAGGAACACCGGUGGCGAAGGCGGCUUCCUGGACCGACACUGACGCUGAGGCGCGAAAGCUAGGGGAGCAAACGGG